GGGACACGUGGUAUCCUGUCUGAAUAUGGGGGGACCAUCCUCCAAGGCUAAAUACUCCUGACUGACCGAUAGUGAACCAGUACCGUGAGGGAAAGGCGAAAAGAACCCCGGCGAGGGGAGUGAAAAAGAACCUGAAACCGUGUACGUACAAGCAGUGGGAGCCUCUUAAUGGGGUGACUGCGUACCUUUUGUAUAAUGGGUCAGCGACUUAUAUUCUGUAGCAAGGUUAACCGAAUAGGGGAGCCGAAGGGAAACCGAGUCUUAACUGGGCGUUAAGUUGCAGGGUAUAGACCCGAAACCCGGUGAUCUAGCCAUGGGCAGGUUGAAGGUUGGGUAACACUAACUGGAGGACCGAACCGACUAAUGUUGAAAAAUUAGCGGAUGACUUGUGGCUGGGGGUGAAAGGCCAAUCAAACCGGGAGAUAGCUGGUUCUCCCCGAAAGCUAUUUAGGUAGCGCCUCGUGAAUUCAUCUCCGGGGGUAGAGCACUGUUUCGGCAAGGGGGUCAUCCCGACUUACCAACCCGAUGCAAACUGCGAAUACCGGAGAAUGUUAUCACGGGAGACACACGGCGGGUGCUAACGUCCGUCGUGAAGAGGGAAACAACCCAGACCGCCAGCUAAGGUCCCAAAGUCAUGGUUAAGUGGGAAACGAUGUGGGAAGGCCCAGACAGCCAGGAUGUUGGCUUAGAAGCAGCCAUCAUUUAAAGAAAGCGUAAUAGCUCACUGGUCGAGUCGGCCUGCGCGGAAGAUGUAACGGGGCUAAACCAUGCACCGAAGCUGCGGCAGCGACACUAUGUGUUGUUGGGUAGGGGAGCGUUCUGUAAGCCUGUGAAGGUGGCCUGUGAGGGUUGCUGGAGGUAUCAGAAGUGCGAAUGCUGACAUAAGUAACGAUAAAGCGGGUGAAAAGCCCGCUCGCCGGAAGACCAAGGGUUCCUGUCCAACGUUAAUCGGGGCAGGGUGAGUCGACCCCUAAGGCGAGGCCGAAAGGCGUAGUCGAUGGGAAACAGGUUAAUAUUCCUGUACUUGGUGUUACUGCGAAGGGGGGACGGAGAAGGCUAUGUUGGCCGGGCGACGGUUGUCCCGGUUUAAGCGUGUAGGCUGGUUUUCCAGGCAAAUCCGGAAAACCAAGGCUGAGGCGUGAUGACGAGGCACUACGGUGCUGAAGCGACAAAUGCCCUGCUUCCAGGAAAAGCCUCUAAGCAUCAGGUAACAUCAAAUCGUACCCCAAACCGACACAGGUGGUCAGGUAG
rnacentral:rRNA from 1 species